rnacentral:rRNA from 1 species
GACGAACGCUGGCGGCGUGCUUAACACAUGCAAGUCGAACGAAGUGGCGAACGGGUGAGUAAUACGUGGGUAACCUGCCCUCCUUUUUGGGAUAAGCCUUGGAAACGGGGUCUAAUACCGCAUCAAGGGGGAUGGGCUCGCGGCCUAUCCGCUUGUUGGUGGGGUGAUGGCCUACCAAGGCGGUGACGGGUAGCCGGCCUGAGAGGGGGACCGGGCACAGUGGGACGGAGAUACGGCCGAGACGCCGACGGGAGGGAGCAGUGGGGGAUAUUGCAGAAUGGGCGAAAGCCGGAUGCAGCGACGCCGCGUGGGGGAUGAAGGCUUUCGGGUUGUAAACCUCGUUCGUUAUCGAACCGGUAGGUGGAGAAGAAGCGCCGGCUAACUACGUGCCAGCAGCCGCGGUAAUAC